rnacentral:lncRNA from 1 species
UUAGCAAGAUAAUAGGCUCUCUCUAAUACCCAAUGCAUAGGUACAAUCUCGAUGUUGAAGACUAAGGUGUUCCUAGACAGCCAAAUCUAAUAAGCAAUAUACGCCAUCCUACCACCGACAAUCUGGCCCUCUAUCAUGCAUCGAUGGAUUGUAUCCAAGAAUGAGAAAAGUCAAGAGUCAGUCAUAGCUUCUGAGGACUGGCUUCCUACCAUCCUCCAAAUCAAGCACAUCCACAGACAAUGAAGCAAGGCAUGAUCAAUCAUCUCAUCCUUUAGUCCAC